rnacentral:rRNA from 1 species
UCGAGGGGCAGCACGAUGUAGCAAUACAUUGGUGGCGACCGGCGCACGGGUGAGUAACGCGUAUGCAACCUACCUAUCAGAGGGGAAUAACCCGGCGAAAGUCGGACUAAUACCGCAUAAAACAGGGGUUCCACAUGGAAAUAUUUGUUAAAGAAUUAUCGCUGAUAGAUGGGCAUGCGUUCCAUUAGAUAGUUGGUGAGGUAACGGCUCACCAAGUCCACGAUGGAUAGGGGUUCUGAGAGGAAGGUCCCCCACACUGGUACUGAGACACGGACCAGACUCCUACGGGAGGCAGCAGUGAGGAAUAUUGGUCAAUGGGCGCGAGCCUGAACCAGCCAAGUCGCGUGAAGGAUGAAGGAUCUAUGGUUUGUAAACUUCUUUUAUAUGGGAAUAAAGUGAGGAACGCGUUCCUUUUUGUAUGUACCAUAUGAAUAAGCAUCGGCUAACUCCGUGCCAGCAGCCGCGGUAAUACGGAGGACGCGAGCGUUAUCCGGAUUUAUUGGGUUUAAAGGGUGCGUAGGUGGUUAAUUAAGUCAGCGGUGAAAGUUUGUGGCUCAACCAUAAAAUUGCCGUUGAAACUGGUUGACUUGAGUAUAUCUGAGGUAGGCGGAAUGCGUGGUGUAGCGGUGAAAUGCAUAGAUAUCACGCAGAACUCCGAUUGCGAAGGCAGCUUACUAAACUAUAACUGACACUGAAGCACGAAAGCGUGGGGAUCAAACAGGAUUAGAUACCCUGGUAGUCCACGCAGUAAACGAUGAUUACUAGCUGUUUGCGAUACACAGUAAGCGGCAC